CAGAACGAACGCUGGUGGCGUGUCUUAUACAUGCAAGUCGAGCGAGGCAGCAAUGCCGAGCGGCGAACGGGUGAGUAACGCGUAAGCAAUCCUGCCCCAUAUCAGGAAAUACCCGUGCCAACGCGCGGUUAAUGUCCAGGAGAGUGGCCCCCUGCAUGGGGGGUUGACUAGAGAUUUAUCGGUAUGGGAUGAGCUUGCGUCCGAUUAGCUAGUUGGCGGGCAACGGCCACCAAGGCGACGAUCGGUAGCCGGCCUGAGAGGGUGAUCGGCCACAUUGGGACUGAGAUACGGCCCAGACUCCUACGGGAGGCAGCAGUAGGGAAUAUUGCACAAUGGGGGGAAACCCUGAUGCAGCAACGCCACGUUGUGGGAAGAAGCAUUUCGGUGUGUAAACCACUGUCAUGAGGGAAUAAGGCCCUUAUCCGUAAGGGAUUGAAUGUACCUUGAGAGGAAGCACCGGCAAACUUCGUGCCAGCCGCGGC
rnacentral:rRNA from 1 species